UACGUAGGUGGCAAGCGUUGUCCGGAUUUACUGGGCGUAAAGAGCGCGCAGGCGGUCGUUCAAGUCGCGUGUGAAAGCCCCCGGCUCAACUGGGGAGGGUCACGCGAUACUGAUCGACUCGAAAGCAGGAGAGGGAAGUGGAAUUCCCGGUGUAGUGGUGAAAUGCGUAGAUAUCGGGAGGAACACCAGUGGCGAAGGCGACUUCCUGGCCUGUUCUUGACGCUGAGGCGCGAAAGCUAGGGGAGCAAACGGG
rnacentral:rRNA from 1 species